GACGAACGCUGGCGGCGUGCCUAAUACAUGCAAGUUGAGCGAUGAAGAUUGGUGCUUGCACCCAUUUGAAGAGCAGCGAACGGGUGAGUAACGCGUGGGGAAUCUGCCUUUGAGCGGGGGACAACAUUUGGAAACGAAUGCUAAUACCGCAUAACAACUUUAAACAUAAGUUUUAAGUUUGAAAGAUGCAAUUGCAUCACUCAAAGAUGAUCCCGCGUUGUAUUAGCUAGUUGGUGAGGUAAAGGCUCACCAAUGCGAUGAUACAUAGCCGACCUGAGAGGGUGAUCGGCCACAUUGGGACUGAGACACGGCCCAAACUCCUACGUGAGGCAGCAGUAGGGAAUCUUCGGCAAUGGACGAAAGUCUGACCGAGCAACGCCGCGUGAGUGAAGAAGGUUUUCGGAUCGUAAAACUCUGUUGGUAGAGAAGAACGUUGGUGAGAGUGGAAAGCUCAUCAAGUGACGGUAACUACCCAGAAAGGGACGGCUAACUACGUG
rnacentral:rRNA from 1 species